CCACCAUCAAAAAUUCAAAAUUUCCAUUCAAUAUCAUCUCUUUCUCAGCAUUUGUUUCUCUUUUCUUUUCAAGUUGCAGAGGCUCUUUUCUUGAAUUGCGAAUCCUAUUGUUUUGCCUUUUAUAUGAAACAAGAAACAGGUAGCACCAUGGUUGCAGAGCGUAGAGGUCUUAACCGACCAAAGCUUGGUGCUCUCUUGCACUCUGACCCUGCAAUCUUUACCAACCAAGAAGAUGAUUACUCCAACUAUAAGACUGGUCCUAGUCCAGCCUCUCUUGCAAGCCCUAAAUAUUCUAAUAGCUGCACACCCACAAGUGGUGAGUCCUCUCCUUAUCCUAUGUCUCCGUGGAGCCAGCCGUCUCCUUAUGCUAAAUCUCCGUGGAUAAUACCAUCUCCGAUAAUCAACCAUAAUCUCAGUAAUAAUGGCCUUAUUGGAUCCAUUGUACGCGAAGAAGGUCAUGUGUAUUCUUUAGCGGCUUCUGGUGACUUGUUGUAUACGGGCUCAGACAGCAAGAACAUACGAGUAUGGAGGAAUUUGAAGGAGUUCGCGGGUUUCAAAUCCAAUAGUGGCUUAGUUAAGGCCAUUGUUAUAUCAGGGGACAAGAUUUUCACUGGUCAUCAAGAUGGGAAGAUCAGAAUCUGGAAGACAUCUCCCAAAAACCCUAGUGUCCAUAAACGAUUUGGAAGCUUACCCACUUUUAAAGAAUCCAUUAAAAAAUCCUUCAACCCCAACAACUACGUAGAAGUUCGUAGACACCGCAAUGUUCUACGCAUCAAGCAUUUCGACGCAGUGUCUUGCCUGAGUUUGAACCGAGAGCAAGGUUUAUUAUACUCAGGAUCCUGGGAUAAAACCUUGAAAGUAUGGCGGAUUUCAGACUACAAGUGCAUGGAAUCGAUCAAAGCACAUGACGACGCGAUAAAUUCAGUGGUGGCGGGGUUCGAUUCAUUGGUAUUUACAGGUUCGGCUGAUGGAACGGUGAAAGUAUGGAGGAGGGAGCUGGAAGGAAGAGGAACCAAGCAUUUCUUGGUGCAGACACUGUUAAAACGAGAAAACGCGAUGACCGCCCUGGCAGUAAAUCAAGAAUCCGCCCUGGUGUACUGUGGUUCCUCUGACGGGCUGGUGAACUUUUGGGAACGUGAAAAGCACUUAUCGCACGGUGGGGUCCUCCGGGGUCACAAAACGGCUGUCCUGUGUUUAGCAACCGCCGGUAAUUUGGUGUUCAGUGGGUCCGCCGACAAAAGCAUAUGUGCAUGGAGGAGAGAGUCAGGUGGGGUCCACAUAUGCUUGUCGGUUUUAACAGGUCAUAAUGGGCCAGUGAAGUGCUUGGCCGUGGCAGAGGAUCAAGAUUCCGACGAGGGAGAUCAACGGUGGAUAGUAUACAGCGGGAGCUUAGACAAAUCCGUUAGAGUGUGGCGCGUGUCUGAGGAUGCGUACCAGUACAAUUACCAAUCACCCAGGUCCCGGGCUAAGCUAUAUCUCACCGCCGACCACUGACAGAGGUCAUUAUCAACGUUAAAAACGCGAAGUGAAUGGACUUGAAGAUCACGCGGAGCCACAGGAACUGCAUGGUGGUGAAUAUGGAGCCGGACCGCCUCCGGAUUGCAAGAUUUUGCAACUUUGAAAUUGGGUGUCCUCAUGUCAGAAGCAAUGUGGACAUUUUCUGUGUCCUCUUAUUAUCGAAGCGUAUAAUUUGUCGGUUUUUGCACACUAAGCAAAAUUUAGAAUGAAGUUUCCUAUGUGAAAGUUUGUAUGUUUUGUACAUUAGGCUUGCAUUAAUGUUGAGAAGUGUACAAAUUUUAGACAAUGAUAUUAUAAUUCCAAA
rnacentral:misc_RNA from 1 species